ensembl:lncRNA
CUGUAUACUGCCUAGUCAAAACUCUAAAUAGCCAUUUUCUACAUGUAAAUGGGAUUGGAUGAGUGACUCACCUCAACUCCCACCAUGUGAGUGUGCUGUCUGCUAUCACUCCUAGUUUGGCCCGGGUGGCAGGCUUCACCUGCUCCGCUGCAGGUCGGCAGUUCAGAGGGGUGCUGGACGAGCACCUAGCCAUGCUGUACUUUCCGGAGGGGAACACGGAGCUGGCUGUGAAGGGGGAGGAAGGGCAGCUGUACCACUGGAGCCUACCCUCCUCCUUCCAGCUACUGAAGGAUCUGGUGGCAGACGGGAAGGGACUUUUCCAUCUUGUUCCUUACCUUUUGGCUGAGACCUUCCUCGCGUGCUGUCUUCUGUGUCCCGUGCCCUCACCCAGUGCUCCCACCCACUGUUCCCCCGACCUCCCAGCCCUUAAGGUUGGCCAGGAACACCUACACUCCUUCCUGGGAGGAAAGCUUCGGUGCCGGGACCCCUUCGACCAGGAAGUCAGAGCACAUAUUCAUAGAUGACAACAUCCGGCAGAAUGAUGAGGACAUCGUUGCCCAUCCAAAAGUGUUCCUGGACUGAGACGGCUCAGAGACCUGCAUAUAGCCUCCACCUCACAGCUGUAUGACCUACGUCUGGUCCAGAACGACCGUUCAGAGCCAUCUAAGACCUAGUGUAUUUUAGCCAGCUAUGACAGGAACCUCCAGCAUGGGGCAGGC